rnacentral:rRNA from 1 species
UACGUAGGGGCCGAGCGUUGUCCGGAGUUAUUGGGCGUAAAGCGCGCGCAGGCGGCCUCGCGUGCCCGACGUGAAAGCCCCCGGCUUAACCGGGGAGGGUCGUUGGGGACGGCGGGGCUUGAGGGCGGGAGAGGGUGGUGGAAUUCCCGGUGUAGUGGUGAAAUGCGUAGAGAUCGGGAGGAACACCCGUGGCGAAGGCGGCCACCUGGGCCGACCCUGACGCUGAGGCGCGAAGGCGUGGGGAGCGAACGGG